rnacentral:rRNA from 1 species
UACGUAGGGGGCUAGCGUUGUCCGGAAUCAUUGGGCGUAAAGAGCGUGUAGGCGGCCCGGUAAGUCCGCUGUGAAAGUCGGGGGCUCAACCCUCGAAUGCCGGUGGAUACUGUCGGGCUAGAGUGCGGAAGAGGCGAGUGGAAUUCCUGGUGUAGCGGUGAAAUGCGCAGAUAUCAGGAGGAACACCCGUAGCGAAGGCGGCACUCUGGGCCGAUUCUGACACUGAGGAGCGAAAGCGUGGGGAGCGAACAGG